rnacentral:rRNA from 1 species
UGCCUUGGCUCUCGGAGGCGAUGAAGGACGUGAUAAGCUGCGAUAAGCUUCGGGUAGGUGCAAAUAACCUUUGAUCCCAAGAUUUCCGAAUGGGGCAACCCGGCUGGUAGAAGGCCAGUCAUUCCGUAAGGAAGGCGAACGUGGGGAACUGAAACAUCUAAGUACCCAUAGGAGAAGAAAACAAAAGUGAUUCCGCAAGUAGUGGCGAGCGAACGCGGAACAGCCCAAACCGAUGAUGUUUAGGCAUUGUCGGGGUAGUAGGACCACGUUGUGGCAAGAGAUUAAGGAAGUAGAACGUUUUGGAACAAACGGCCGUAGACGGUGAAAGCCCGGUAUACGACUCUUUAACGAAGCCUAGUGGAAUCCUGAGUAGCGCGGAGCACGAGAAAUUCUGUGUGAAUCAGCGGGGCCCAUCCCGUAAGGCUAAAUACUCCCGAGAGACCGAUAGCGAACCAGUACUGUGAAGGAAAGGUGAAAAGCACCUCGAACAGAGGAGUGAAAUAGUCCCUGAAACCGUCUGCCUACAAGCGGUCGGAGCAACGUAAGUUGUGACGGCGUGCCUUUUGCAUAAUGAACCUACGAGUUACUUUCUCCGGCAAGGUUAAGGGCUUCAGGCCCGGAGCCGAAGCGAAAGCGAGUCUUAAUAGGGCGUGAUAGUCGGAGUGAGUAGACGCGAAACCAAGUGAUCUACCCUUGGUCAGGAUGAAGGUUGGGUAACACCAACUGGAGGUCCGAAUGGGUAUACGUUGAAAAGUGUUCCAAUGAACUGAGGGUAGGGGUGAAAGGCUAAUCAAACUUGGAGAUAGCUCGUACUCCCCGAAAUGCAUUUAGGUGCAGCCUUUAUUUAGUAUAGCAUGAGGUAGAGCGACUGAUUGGAUGCGAGGGCUUCACCGCCUAUCAAGUCCAGAUAAACUCCGAAUGCGUGCUAUAUAUUGAUAAGGAGUGAGGGCGCGGGUGCUAAGGUCCGCGUCCGAGAGGAGAAGAAUCCAGACCAUCAGCUAAGGUCCCCAAAUAACAGUUAAGUUGAACUAACGAAGUCGGACUGCAGAGACAGCUAGGAUGUUGGCUUGGAAGCAGCCAUUCAUUUAAAGAGUGCGUAACAGCUCACUAGUCGAGGAGUCCGGCGUGGAUAAUACUCGGGCAUAAACUGUUUACCGAAGCUAUGGAUGUAGAAAUACAUGGUAGGGGAGCAUUCCAACGGCGUCGAAGGUGAAGGAUGACCUUUGCUGGAGCUUUUGGAAACGCAAAUGUAGGUAUAAGUAACGAUAAAGGAGGUGAGAAACCUCCUCGCCGAAAGACUAAGGUUUCCUGAUCAACGCUAAUCGGAUCAGGGUAAGUCGGGACCUAAGGUUAAGCCGAACGGCGAUACCGAUGGAAGAAUGGUUUAAUAUUCCCAUACUACUUUAUGGAGCGAUGUGGAGACGGAGAAGUGACAGUCCUGCCAUCUGACGGAAUAGGUGGUUGAAGAGUGUAGAUGUAGAUUCCUGUAGGCAAAUCCGCAGGGAGAGUCGACCUUGACAGUAUGCCGCGUGCUUGCACAAGGCAAAAUGGACGUAAUCAGGCUCCCAAGAAAAUCCGCUAAGCAUAUUCAUAAAGUACCCGUACCGUAAACGGACACACGUAGUUGGGUUGAAAAUACUGAGGCGCUCGAGUGAUUCACGGUUAAGGAACUAGGCAAAUUGACCCUGUAACUUCGGGAUAAAGGGUCCCUACUGAGAGGUAGGGCGCAGAGAAUAGGUCCAGGCAACUGUUUAACAAAAACACAUGGCUGUGCGAAAUAGAAACAUGAAGUAUACAGCCUGACACCUGCCCGGUGCUGGAAGGUUAAGAGGAGAGCUCAUCGCAAGAGAAGGCUUGAAUUGAAGCCCCAGUAAACGGCGGCCGUAACUAUAACGGUCCUAAGGUAGCGAAAUUCCUUGUCGGGUAAGUUC